AACGAACGUUGGCGGCAUGGAUUAGGCAUGCAAGUCGAAUGAAUGCUGUGUAGCAAUACAUAGCGGAAAUGGCGAAAGGGGCAGUAAUACAUGGAUAACCUACCCUGGGGAUGGGCAUAGCCGGUCUAACGGCCGGGUAAUACCCAGAGAGUCGACGAUGUGGCAUCACAAUGUCGGGAAAUGAAUUUCGCCUCGGGAGGGGUCCAUGAGCUAUCAGCUAGUUGGUGGGGUAACGGCCCACCAAGGCUUAGACGGCUAGCGGGUGUGAGAGCACGACCCGCGCCACUGGCACUGAGACACUGGCCAGACACCUACGGGUGGCUGCAGUCGAGGAUCUUCGUCAAUGGGCGAAAGCCUGAACGAGCGAUGCCGCGUGAGCGAUGAAGGCCUUCGGGUUGUAAAGCUCAAAAGAAGUGAGAAAGGGAAACUUGAUCAAACUUCAGUAAGCUCGGGCUAAGUUCGUGCCAGCAGCCGCCGUAAUAC
rnacentral:rRNA from 1 species